rnacentral:tRNA from 4 species
GAAAAUCCGUCGACUUUUAAAAUCGUGAGGGUUCAAGUCCCUCUAUCCCCAAAAG